rnacentral:rRNA from 1 species
UUUGAGGCAACAGGCGCAAGCUUUAUCCAACAAUGCCGCGCGAGAGAAAACAGCCUCGCGGUUGUAAAGAUGUCUUUUCAGGGAUGAACCGGUUUCAGUUAAUACAGUUUGAAAAUGACGGUACCUGAAAAAUAAGCACCGGCUAACUAUGUGCCAGCAGCCGCGGUAAUACAUAGGGUGCAAGCGUUAUUCGGAAUUAUUGGGCGUAAAGAGUUCGCAGGUGGUUAGUUAAGUCAGAUGUGAAAUCCCCAGGCUCAACCUCAGACCGGCAUUUGAUACGGCCAAACUAGAGUUUGUCAGAGGGGAGUAGAAUUCCUGGUGUAGCAGUGGAAUGCGCAGAGUCAGGAGGAACACCAAUGGCGAAGGCACCCCCUGGGACACACUACACUCAGCGCGAA